GGAACAGUACUCAAAUUGGACAAGAGGACAUCCUGCUAAGAUGUUAGGUCGGGUAACCGAUGUGAGAGUUCGAGCCUCUCCUGUUCCGCCA
rnacentral:tRNA from 1 species